AAGUCGUAACAAGGUUUCCGUAGGUGAACCUGCGGAAGGAUCAUUACUGAGAGGAGGGGCUUCGCGCUCCCCGGGGGGUUCUCCGGCCCCCAACUCUUCACCCAUUGUUAUCUACCUCUGUGCUUUGGCGGGGCCUUGGGGUUCGCCCCGCGUCCGGCUUUCGGGACCUAGUGAGCGCUCGUCCAGUGGCCCCAUUAAAUUCCCGUCCUAAUCCGGUAUUUAUCAGAUCGAAACCACAAUAGCAAAAAAC
rnacentral:misc_RNA from 1 species